AUGAGCCUGUCGCCGGCGCCGGAGGAGAGCUACGCGAGGCUCGGCAUCGGCUUCGGCUUCGGGCGGAGGUGGCGGCGGGCGAGGGGGUUCCGACUCGGCGCGAGGAACCGGUUCUCGGUGCGGCGGCUGCGGGCCAAGCUGCUGACGUUCAUCGGCCUCGUCGGCCGGCACGCGCGCCACCUCGCCAGGAGGAUCUCCAGGAGAGGCGGCGGCUCCUGCCCAUGGAGCGGCAGCGCGAGGACGCUCGUGGGCGGCAACGGGUCCCAGCGGUGGUGCCCUCCGGGCGGCGAGGCGGCGGCCAAGAAGCAGCAGCAGGCGCCGAGGAGGGCAGCGUCCUUCAUGCGGACCAACUCCUUCUACGCGCAGGCCAUCGCCGAGUGCCUCGAGUUCAUCAAGCGCAACUCCGUGCCGGUCGAGGACUACGGCAGCGCCGUCGUCGCCCGCGGCGGCGGCGCCGUCGGGAGAUAG
rnacentral:rRNA from 1 species